UACGAAGGGGACUAGCGUUGUUCGGAAUCACUGGGCGUAAAGCGCACGUAGGCGGAUUUGUCAGUCAGGGAUGAAAUCCCGGGGCUCAACCUCGGAACUGCCUUUGAUACAGCAAGUCUUGAGUCCGAUAGAGGUGGGUGGAAUUCCUAGUGUAGAGGUGAAAUUCGUAGAUAUUAGGAAGAACACCGGUGGCGAAGGCGGCCCACUGGAUCGGUACUGACGCUGAGGCGCGAAAGCCAGGGGAGCAAACGGG
rnacentral:rRNA from 1 species